rnacentral:lncRNA from 1 species
UUUGAAAUAAAUGUAUUUAACUAAGAGGGUGGAUAACUGGUACUUGGAGGCGGCUGAGGGGGGCAUAGGAGAGAGCUAAGCUUACAACGAAAAUUUUAAAGCAUUUACUGAACCUUUUUAAACGUAUUAUCAAUUAAUAAUUAAAUUGAACGAUAAAGUUCCAGAAAACCACUCCAGUGGUGCUGCGAUUUGGUAGAGGUUAUUUUUAUGAAAAUUUUAAGUGAUGUAUACUACAUAAAACAAUUAUUUUUAUAUUACUGAUAGGUUGUAAGACAUUCAUAGUAUUUUAGUAUUAAACUUAGUACUUAACUCUAGGUUACACAUACAUUUACGUUUAGAUCUAUAUUGUGUUAAACAUUGAUAUGGAUUUAAUUUUAAACUGCCUUAAUAAAAAUAUAUGGAACUAUUUUUCCACUUUUACAGAGUUUUAUAAUGGCUUGUACUCGUUUUUGGGGAGUUUGUAUGGGGUGUAGAUAUUUUGUGUUUCUUUUAUUUGACUACUGUAUUCAACAAACUCAUUGAUGGCCUUGUCAUCCUAAUACAUUUUCCUUCUUUUGGUUGCUUUUGAAACAAACACAGCAAGUGCAUCCUAUCAUACUUUCAUCUUAAAUGCCCCAAUAUACCCAAAACAAAAUGUGUUACAAAUUUGGAAGUAUAACUUCAAAAUGGCAUUGUUAAUAUUUUUGAGGUAGAAACACUUUAUUUAUGAUUGGUUCAUUUGCAAGUUCAUGCAUCGAAAUAAAUUAGCCCGCAUCCAAGAAUAUAAUUACUUAAAAAGUAUUCCUAAUAUUUUUUUAUUCCUUGAAAUAAAAUAUUAGGUACUACAAAAAAAUAGAUAAUGCUUUUCUUUUUUUCCAUGGUUAAUCUUUUUUCUGUAUCGGAAUAUGUUCAUUGAUCCCAAUUCAUGUGGUCAUAUUAAGAAUAUUUUAUUCAUAUACAUAUUUGUUUAAAUAAAUAAUCUUAUAUCAGAACCUAGAGAUGAGAGAUGACUGGUUUAAUAACAUAUUUGAGGGUUUAUUCAAUAUUUUUAUUAAGAUCGAGUUUUACUUUAAUAAUUUUUCAAAAAUUUGUAGUUUUAUAUAAAAUUAUUACUAUUAUAAAUAAUAAGCAAAA